rnacentral:lncRNA from 1 species
UCUCUCUCUCUCUCUCUCUCUAGCAAACACAUUUUAUCCUCUAGCCUUGUUUUUGUUCUCCUUUCUUUUGUAGUUCUCCUCCUCUCCUCCUCAACCAGAGGUAGACCUUUAGAUCUCAUUUCACUGUGGGGUUUCAGGCUGGGUUUCUGUAUACGCACUUUUUGACAUCUACUGAUGUAAAAAGGGCUUUAUAAAUACAUUUGUUUUGACUUGAUUUGAACUCCUGUCGUCUGGGGGAUUCAUCAGUAUAAACGAGGUCAGGGUUGGGUUAUUAAUUGAUGUAGCUCAUGAAACAUGUAUCUGUGUUGUGUCUGGGCGGCGCUAGUGAGGGGGUGGUGGUGGAUGGGUUAGAGGUAGAGUGGGAGGGUUAGGGUGUGUGUGUGUGUGUGUGCCAUGGUGUUUCUGCCUGACUGUUUGGCCGUUGCCUUGGCUGAGUCACUGUAACUAAAGCCAGUCUGUAACCAGUCUGUCCUGACCCAUCCGACUGACUGCUGCUCCACAUUUUUCAUUAAGUUGGUUACCGGGAAACCACAUACUGUUCACUACAACGUUCCUAAACAGCGUCACAUACAGCCUCACAGCAUGACUGUCUGUCUUUUCCGAGGCCCAGCUAAAAAAACAAUCUCUGUUUCAUUUCAUUUCAUUCUACUACCGUUUAUAAGUAGUCAAUACUGUCGUAAUUCAUGUUUUAACUACCAUUGCCAUAUUUUUUUCUCAUCUGUGUGUGGGUGAGAAUGUGUGUGUGUGUGAACGAGGCAGUCUGUAAGGGUAGAUUGACCCGACUGGUGAUGUAUUCUAUUGCUUCCUCAGAAGUAUUCCACUGAGCCGCUGGAACAGACCAGGGCUGGAGAAAAGGCACAUUUGACAUUUCCAUACUUCCAUAUUCACGCUCUCUCUUUCGCAAUUUUUGAAUCGCUCCCUCUCUUGCUUUCUCUCUCUUUCGCUCUUCGUCUCUCUCUCUCUCUCUCUCUCUCUCUCUCUCUCUCUCUCUCUCUGUCUGUUUGCCUCUUUUCCUCUCUUUCACACUCUCUCACCAUAGUUUUAUAUGCUUCUCAAUAAGUGAUAUUGCCCUCCGUUCCAAACAUAUUGCUACCGUAUUACUCCUUUCUCUGCUUUUUAAUGUGGUUCUAAGUCUUUUCUGGGUUGUAAGGAGGAGGAGUCGGGGGAAGGGGGAGAAUAUUCUAACCAAACAGCUGGUUUUGGUGCUUGAUGUUUCCACAGUGUUCCACACGUUAGACUUAGAAGUGGAUCAAGUGCCUGCCAUAUCCAACAAGUCAUAUAUUUUUUUUGUAUAGCAAAUAUUACGUCAUGCACAUUUUCAUUCAUUUUUUUAUUUUAUGCGUUUAAGACCUUUGUUUGUGUCGUCUGUCUUAUUGACACAUUGAUUGCAUUGUUUUGCCUGCCACAAAGCUAUUGUUUUAAUCAUGAGAGAAAAAUAGUAAUCCUACACGAUGUAUUUUUAUGACUGUUCCUUGUCAUCUUUUAUAAACGGUAAUUAGGUACUAUCUAUGGUGUUUUCCCAAUGACUUAUGUAAUAAGAACAGUGUGAUUGGUUUAUAAGAAUUGUACCUGGUGUAUUAAAAACUCUAUACAGCCUCUGUCUCUGUACUGUACAUAUCACAUUUGACUAAAUAAAUAAAUAUGGAAGGCUGCUUCCUUCCUGGUUACAACUAACUAGAACUUUGUGGCACAAACUGAAACAAAUGAUUACGUCUCCAACAAUGUCAUUGUUGUAACAGAUUCACAAAGUAUCCCUUGUCUCUGAGUAGAACUUCAUUGACUGAUUUAUGUGGUGAGGACGUUCCAAACUCGGAAUAUGGACCAGUAAACACAGAGUAGAGGAAA